CCAAUAGCGUAUAUUAAAGUUGUUGCAGUUAAAAAGCUCGUAGUUGAAUUUCGGGAUCAAGGGAUCGGUCAUGCCUUGGUAUGUACUGGUCUUAUUGGUUCUCACCUUCUAAAGAACCAUGAUGUCAUUCAUUUGAUGUUAUGGGGAAUUAGGACUGUUACCUUGAAAAAAUUAGAGUGUUUAAAGCAAGCUUACGCUUGAAUACAUUAGCAUGGAAUAAUGAAAUAGGACAUCAGAUUCUAUUUUGUUGGUUUCCAGGAUCGAUGUAAUGAUUAAUAGGGAUAGUUGGGGGCAUUAGUAUUCAAUUGUCAGAGGUGAAAUUCUUGGAUUUAUUGAAGACUAACUACUGCGAAAGCAUUUGCCAAGGAUGUUCUCAUUAAUCAAGAACGAAAGUUAGGGGAUCGAAGACGAUCAGAUACCGUCGUAGUCUUAACCAUAAACUAUGCCGACUAGGGAUCGGAUGAUGUUAAUUUUUUAAUGACUCAUUCGGCACCUUACG
rnacentral:rRNA from 1 species